GACGAACCGAGCGAACGUUGUUCGGAAUCACUGGGCUUAAAGGGCGCGUAGGCGGGUGCUCAAGUCCGUGGUGAAAUCCUCCGGCUCAACCGGAGAACUGCCUCGGAUACUGGGCGUCUCGAGUGUGGUAGGGGUAUGCGGAACUAUCGGUGGAGCGGUGAAAUGCGUUGAUAUCGAUAGGAACUCCGGUGGCGAAGGCGGCGAUACUGGACCACCACUGACGCUGAUGCGCGAAAGCCAGGGGAGCAAACGGG
rnacentral:rRNA from 1 species